rnacentral:rRNA from 1 species
CCUACGGGUGGCAGCAGUAGGGAAUCUUCCACAAUGGGCGAAAGCCUGAUGGAGCAACGCCGCGUGGGUGAAGAAGGUCUUCGGAUCGUAAAACCCUGUUGUUAGAGAAGAAAGUGCGUGAGAGUAACUGUUCACGUUUCGACGGUAUCUAACCAGAAAGCCACGCCUAACUACGUGCCAGCAGCCGCGGCAAUACGUAGGUGGGAUGCGUUAUCCGGAUUUAUUGGGCGUGAAGGGAACGCAGGCGGUCUUUUAAGUCUGAUGUGAAAGCCUUCGGCUUAACCGGAGUAGUGCAUUGGAAACUGGGUGACUUGAGUGCAGAAGAGGUGAGUGGAACGCCAUGUGUAGCGGUGAAAUGCGUAGAUAUAGGGAAGAACACCAGUGGCGAAGGCGG